GGGCGAAAACGAAGCCGAGAAGAGAUUAAGGUUUUCUCUUCAGCGGCCGGCCAAAGGGGACUUCUCCACGAGCUCUUCUUGGAUUCGAGCUCCUCUCGUCAAGAAGGAACAGUAGGCAUGAGGAAGAGGGCGAGUUUGCGAGAUCCUCCGCAAGCCCUAGAAGCAUUGGAAGCUUUCUUCUCCGGCUGUAAGUCCAAGAAAAGCCUAAGGUAAGACGCUUACUCACCUGCGGUAAGAGUAGCUCUCGGAUUUCUUGUUUUCCAUGAUUUCGUAGCAUGUUGUAAGGAUAGUUUGUUUUGUGUUGCUGCCGUAAGUCCCAAGGGAAGAAAGGGGAAGAACGGUAGAGGUUAAGUAUGUGGAAAGAUUCCUUUCAAGCUUUGAAAUUGGCAUUUGUAGCUUUUAAUUUGGAUUUUUCUGUGUGACCGUGAUAAGCAUGCUUGGUUAAUAUUCCCUUGCUGCUGUGAGUUUGAUAAAGAAGAGGAGAAGAGAUCCAUUAAGUUCUUGUACUAGUAUACCAUGAAACAAAACAAGCUUUACAUAGGUUUGAAGAGAAGAUCCCAGCAGAUAAAGGAAAAGA